rnacentral:rRNA from 1 species
UACAGAGGUGGCAAGCGUUGUCCGGAUUUACUGGGCGUAAAGAGCGCGCAGGCGGUCGUUCAAGUCGCGUGUGAAAGCCCCCGGCUCAACUGGGGAGGGUCACGCGAUACUGAUCGACUCGAAGGCAGGAGAGGGUAGUGGAAUUCUCGGUGUAGCGGUGAAAUGCGUAGAUAUCGAGAGGAACACCUGCGGCGAAGGCGGGUUGCUGGGCUGAUACUGACGCUGAGGCGCGAAAGCCAGGGGAGCGAACGGG